rnacentral:lncRNA from 1 species
AUUUCUUCUUCCUGAUUUAUUGAUUUUCUCUUUCUUCAUUAAUAUUUCUAUUGGUGCUGCAUCAAAUUUGGUAUCAGAACCGAAUCUUGGAUAGUUCCUCUCAUACAAUCAAAAAUUUCUUCUUAUUUUCUUCCCAAAAUUUGUUGGGACAGCACAAUUGAAAAAGAUUUAGGGUUGAAGCCAGUCCCUCACCCUCAGCCGUAUAGCGUCUCCUAAGUUGAUACUUCUUAUAUAGCUAUCAAGGAGAGUUGUCUAGCCCCUAUCCAGUUCCUCGAGUAUAAGGACCAUAUAUGGUGUGACGUCAUUUCAAUGAAUGUCGAGCACAUCAUCUUGGGACGACCUUGGUUAUUUGACCUAGAUGUAACCAUCUAUGGUCGAUCAAAUUCUUGCUCUUUCGUGUUUAAUGGAAAGAAAAUUUACCUUAACCCACUGCCCUCAAAGCGUGUAGGCUCACAAGAAACAAAGAAGAGUGUAGAACGAAAGGGAUUGCAUAUCAUUGGUCCUACGGAGUUUAAGCGCACACUUGUUAGUGACUCAAUUAUUUACGCUUUGGUAGUCAAGAAGGUUUCAUCUAACUCCACAACAGAGGGCCCUACGGAAAUUCAGUCGUUCCUUCGAGAUUUUCGGGAUGUCUUCUCGGAGGACCUACCUGAUCAUCUACCUCCUCUAUGGGACAUUCAACAUGCCAUAAAUUUCAUCCCAGGAGCAUCCCUUCUGAAUUUGCCUUAUUAUAGGAUGAAUCCUACAGAGUACACUGAACUCCAGAAGAAAGUAGAUGACCUCCUUCACAAAGGAUUCAUUCGUGAGAGUUUAAGCCCUUGUGCUAUUAUCCCCGCCUUAUUGAUGCCUAAAAAGGAUGGCUCUUGGAGAAUGUGUGUGAAUAGUCGUGUUAUCAAUAGGAUCACGGUGAAGUAUCGUUUUCCUAUUCCUAGACUUGACGAUAUGCUAAAUAUGAUAGUUGGUGCUACAAUCUUUUCAAAGAUUGAUCUGAAGAGUGGAUACCAUCAUAUUAGAAUCCGUCCCGGUGAUGAGUGAAAG